rnacentral:snoRNA from 1 species
GAGCAUAUGAUGAUUUUUUUUUUGCACUACAACGGUGCUUCCGAUAAACCAUGCGGAUUAUAUAAAUCGAGCUUUUUAAAACUGAUGCUCC